rfam:Schistosoma curassoni strain Dakar, Senegal genome assembly, scaffold: SCTD_scaffold0009712
GCACUGCUGAGGAGUCCUAUGCUAGGACGAAAUGGCCGUCCAGUGU